GAUUUCUGACUUGGUGCGCGCUGUCCGUUGCGGUUACGUGACGUGUGCAGUAGCGCGCCUGUCAUACUUCUGGAUUUUGAUGUUGCCCUUCACUGGGUGAUGUCGCUAUCUAGAUCUUUUACUUUGAAAAAAUUAGAGUGUUUAAAGCAGGCUUUUUGCUAUGAAUACAUUAGCAUGGAAUAAUAAUUUAGGACUUUGGCCCUAUUUUGUUGGUUUCUAGGACUGAAGUAAUGAUUGAUAGGGAUAGUUGGGGGUGCUCGAAUUCAGCGGCCAGAGGUGAAAUUCUUGGAUUCGCUGAAGACGAACUCAUGCGAAAGCAUU
rnacentral:rRNA from 1 species